CCGAGUUAUACAACUCAUCAACCCUGUGAACAUACCUAAAACGUUGCUUCGGCGGGAACAGACGGCCCUGUAACAACGGGCCGCCCCCGCCAGAGGACCCCUAACUCUGUUUUUAUAAUGUUUUUCUGAGUAAACAAGCAAAUAAAUUAAAACUUUCAACAACGGAUCUCUUGGCUCUGGCAUCGAUGAAGAACGCAGCGAAAUGCGAUAAGUAAUGUGAAUUGCAGAAUUCAGUGAAUCAUCGAAUCUUUGAACGCACAUUGCGCCCGCCAGUAUUCUGGCGGGCAUGCCUGUUCGAGCGUCAUUACAACCCUCAGGCCCCCGGGCCUGGCGUUGGGGAUCGGCGGAAGCCCCCUGUGGGCACACGCCGUCCCUCAAAUACAGUGGCGGUCCCGCCGCAGCUUCCAUUGCGUAGUAGCUAACACCUCGCAACUGGAGAGCGGCGCGGCCAUGCCGUAAAACACCCAACUUCUGAAUGUUGACCUCGAAUCAGGUAGGAAUACCCGCUGAACUUAAGCAUAUCAUU
rnacentral:rRNA from 1 species